GGAUAACGCUGGCGGCCGCUGCUUACACAUGCAAGUCGAAACGAACCUUCGGGUUAGUGGCGGACGGGUGAGUGACGCGUGAGAAUCUGCCCUCAGGAGGUGGGACAACAGCUGGAAACGGCUGCUAAAUACCCCAUAUGCCGCGAGGUGAAACUGAAUUUCGCCUGAGGAUGAGCUCGCGUCUGAUUAGCUAGUCGGUGUAGGUAAUGGCUCACCAAGGCAUCGAUCAGUAGCUGGUCUGAGAGGAUGAUCAGCCACAACUGGGACUGAGACACGGCCCAGACUCCUACGGGAGGCAGCAGUGGGGAAUUUUCCGCAAUGGGCGAAAGCCUGACGGAGCAACGCCGCGUGAGGGAUGAAGGCCUCUGGGCUGUAAACCUCUUUUAUCAAGGAAGAAGAUCUGACGGUACUUGAUGAAUAAGCCACGGCUAAUUC
rnacentral:rRNA from 1 species